rnacentral:lncRNA from 1 species
GCAUUGCUUUCAUCAAUACAAUAGAAAUUACUACCUCAGUCUUUGGUCUUUUCAGCCUUUGUCUGCCAUUUAUUUUCUCUUAUAUGGUAUCAGAGCUCCAUCUCUUGGAGCUUUGCUAAUACCUUCCUUUCUUCGUCAUGUCUGAAGCUCACUCUGAAUCUGAAACCACCGCCAAUGGUGGUAAUGUAGAUCCUAGUCUUAACCCUUCUAGUCCAUAUUGUAUUCAUCCUAGUGAAGGGCCUAGUUCUGUUACCAUUACCCCUGUUCUAACCGGCUCCAACUACCAUUCUUGGUCCCGUACAAUUCGCAUGGCCUUAAUCUAUAAAAACAAAAUGGGUUUUCUCACCGGUGCUAUCCCUAAACCUACUGCUACUGAUCCUUUGUGCACUCCAUGGGAACGUUGUAAUACUUUAAUCAUGUCAUGGCUCCUUAACUCUCU